rnacentral:rRNA from 1 species
GCCUCUCGCUAAAUCAUCUCAAAUGUACCAGAUCUCAUCAGUUCUUGGAAGUUAAGCAGGAAAGAGCCUGGAUAGUGCUUGCAUAAGCAACUACUGUGCAUAAAACAGGUGUUAUAGACU